AUGUCCUUCUGUUGGUACGUCAUGUGUGUUUCUUCGUGCGUUGAACGGCUGGACCUUCGUCCCGCCUGGCCCUUUCCGCGAAAAAUACGUGCCCGAUCCGGACUUCACGUUUCGUUCGUGGGCUGGGCUGACUUACGGAGGAAGCAGUUCUGUAAAAAGAAAAACACCAGCACGGGCUCUCCUCCUCGAUGCCUACGACAUCGGCGCCGGUGCCACCACCUCGCGCGGCCGCGCGGCCGGUAUUCUUCCCCGGCCGUUUCCCGAGCCACCACGCGCCUCCUCCCCUGCCGCUCCGCCGCCAUGCCGAGACGGCGUACUGGGACCAGCGGAUUAAUGCCACCGCCCACUCCGGCCUCCACCACACCAGCCGGAACCAUUGCUCGUGGGCGCGCAGGGAUGGAGAACCCUGACGGCCACGCGGAAGCUGCGCGGGGGCAGGCUCCCCCACCGUCGCCCUUGGACGCCGUGGAGGCGGGUCUGGGCAGCGACCCGGCCGAGGUUCUCCCACCGCCACCCCCGCAUCUCCCGGGGGGUGCCCCUUACGACAGGGCGCGGACAGCCAGCGGAUCCACGUACGGGACCUCCGGCAAGGCAGCGGGCUACCAGGCCGCGGGGGCCACGGAGGACGGCGUCGCCGCCGUCGAGAUGGCCGAUCCCAUGGCUAGGUUAUGGGAUGUUGUCACCUUGGAUUGCUUAGACGUCGAUGCUUGGACCACACUUAUUGAAGAGACAGAGAGGAUUGCUGAGAAAGUGUAUGAUGCAUUCCGUGCGGAGUUCCCUCUGUGCUUUGGCUAUUGGAAGAAAUAUGCAGAUCAUGAAGGCCGUCUAGAUGGUGUCAAUAAAGUUUUUGAGGUGUAUGAACGGGCAGUUCUUGCAGUUACUUAUUCAGUGGACAUAUGGUGUAAUUAUUGUCAGUUUGCGAUCUCAACAUACAAUGACCCAGAUGUCAUCAGAAGCUAUAAUCUGUACUCCCUUCAUCUGGAUUAUGGUUCCAAUACUUUGUGGGAUGAGUACAUCAAGAAUGAAGAAUCACUUCAAGCAUGGAGUCAUCUAGCUGUGGUAUACACAAGAAUACUAGAGCACCCUAUAAAACAGCUUGACCGAGUUUUUUUGCUUUCAACCAAUACAAGGCUAUGUGGAGAAAUGUGUCAUGUGGUGGUUGACCUCAUCACGUUGGAAUUGAUUGCGUUCCAACAUGCUUUGAUCAGAUAUUCCUCAAAUCUGGAUGCCAUGAGUGAGAUGGUGGAGAGACGGAGGGAUGAAGAAUAA
rnacentral:rRNA from 1 species